AUGAUGACAGUAUAUCUUUGGCGGCACUACAACGUCUUCUCCAUGGGAUGCCAAUUGUCCUGUUCGCGUAAUUUUUUAAGUCAUGCUCGACAAAAUUUAGGUGCCCUGAUUUCAGAAAAACAGGCUGAGGCGUACCUGAACAUGGUGUUCGAGUGGCUGUUGUACUACUUGCUUUUGAAGUCUUCAUUUGCAAGAGCAGUGAUCGAUUGGAACAAACGUCCUCUACCCCCGGCACUGCCGCCGCCGCCGCCACCUUAUCCUGUGCCUGCUGGUCCAUCGCCAAGGCAACUCGAGUUCUCCAACGACUUCACAUUUGACCAAUUGAUUGAUACGACUGGAUACUUGGGUGACUGUUAG
rnacentral:rRNA from 1 species